rnacentral:lncRNA from 1 species
CCUGCCCAGUGGCCCCUUCUUAAUUGUGGAAGGCCUUGCCCCCGCGGGCUGUCAGGGGGGUUCUGCGCGUUUUAUACCUGACAGGACCUCUUCCAGAACCCCCGGAGGGAGGCACCGUUAAAGUGUUUUAUGUUGGGGAAUAGGCUGGUUUCUGUGUGCAAUAAAAACCAAAGCCAUUGAGUAAGCACGGGCUCCUGGGUAAUGACUGGGACCGAAGAGAUAGCUUCCAUAUGCCGGGUGGGUGCUUGGAGGCCGGAGCCUGCAUCUGUUCCCUUGUUCUGUCAGAGAACAGCGCCGGGAGCGGGUCUGACCUUCCGAUAAACCCUGAACCAGACCCCUUCUGGGAGCUGCAGGGAGAAGUCGGGGCGGGGGUGGGGGUGGGGUGGGGCGAGGUCAGAGGGCAGCCACAUCUGCAGAGGGAGGCGUGGGUGGGGGUAGGGAGUGGGGUGGGGGGAGAGGGGCGGGGGGCUGCGGCUGCCCCCCUCUCUAAUCAAUAAACCCCAGCUACCAGAGGAGAUCAGAGAGCCAUUCAUUAACGAGCUCGUUAAGUGAUUGAUAGGCUUAAUUUUCCUGUCAAAUGCGGACUUUCCUUGUAAACAUGUCAAUUGAGGGAAGUUCAGGCUUGUCACUUGGAUUUAUGGCUGGAAUAACAGGGAGGUGCAAGAGAGGGGAGCUCCCCCCGUGACCCCGCCUGCUGGCUGCUGUGAAGUGCCUGUGCCGCCUGUCCUUUCCCGGCCACAGCUGGGGCCGGCGACGCCGAUCCGCCAGGAAACCCACAGGGUCAGCCCCGGCCCCGGGGGCCUCUGGGAAGCCUAUCUUCCUUUCUAGUUGUCCCAGAAGAUGGAGAGCACCUGAACACAGAAGCCGAAAGCGCCCAUAUGGUGACACGCACAAGCCAUCAGAGAUGGAAAUUUGACCACAUAAGCAGGCUUGAUCACACUUCACUAUUCUUGAAGUGGGACAGCAGCAAUAAUGAUGCUAACAACAGCACACUGGUUACAUCACAGAGUGAUCACGCGCUGAGAACUUUCCCCGCUCUGCCAGCCAUGUCCUUGAACCCGGGCGUUUCGAUGGUGUGGAAGACUUUGAUUGACUGUCCCCAUUUCAAAGAGACAGGGCGGUUCUUGCGGCACAUUUCCGGUCUGCGCUGCAAAGUCCCCGGCUCUGUGGUCCUGGCACCAGCCCCUGGGAACCCGCAAGUGAGAUGAAUUAGGAGCCGAGAGCAAAAUAUUUGGUUUCAUGCUAUGUAGUUUCUUUCCAUGACUUGCUUAAAAUUCCGUGGAACAAUUAAAUCUUGAAAGUGUCUUGUGGAUGCCUGGGGCUCCUGUUUCCUUGAAAUUUAUUGAUUGUCUUUGAUAUCCCACACAAGUACGAGGUUUCUUGAUUUAUUUAUUUAUUUAUAACAUUUAAUAAAGCCUUUUGACUGGAACCA